rnacentral:rRNA from 1 species
UACGUAGGGGGCAAGCGUUGUCCGGAAUCAUUGGGCGUAAAGCGCGCGUAGGCGGCUCGAUAAGUCUGCUGUGAAAGUUCAGGGCUCAACCCUGAAAUGCCGGUGGAAACUGUCGGGCUAGAGUCCGGAAGAGGCGAGUGGAAUUCCUGGUGUAGCGGUGAAAUGCGCAGAUAUCAGGAGGAACACCAAUGGCGAAGGCAGCUCGCUGGGACGGUACUGACGCUGAGACGCGAAAGCGUGGGGAGCAAACAGG